rnacentral:tRNA from 1 species
GUGUCUGUAGCCUAGUUGGUUAAAGGCAGCACUCUAGCAUGGUUCUAAAAUAUAAUGAGGUUGUGAGUUUGAAUCUCACCAGACACA